rnacentral:rRNA from 1 species
UAGUCCACGCCGUAAACGAUGAGAACUAGAUGUCGGGAGGAUCUGCCUCUCGGUGUCGCAGCUAACGCAUUAAGUUCUCCGCCUGGGGAGUACGGUGGCAACACUAAAACUCAAAGGAAUUGACGGGGACCCGCACAAGCGGUGGAGCAUGUGGUUUAAUUCGAUGCAACGCGAAGAACCUUACCUGCCCUUGACAUUGACAGAAUCCUCUAGAGAUAGAGGAGUGCUUCGGCCUGGAAAACAGGUGCUGCAUGGCUGUCGUCAGCUCGUGUCGUGAGAUGUUGGGUUAAGUCCCGCAACGAGCGCAACCCUUAUCUCUAGUUGCCAUCAUUUAGUUGGGCACUCUAGAGAGACUGCCGGUGAUAAACCGGAGGAAGGUGGGGGACGACGUCAAGUCAUCAUGGCCCUUAUGGGGCAGGGGCUACACACGUGCUACAAUGGCCGGUACAGA